rnacentral:rRNA from 1 species
AUGUUUCUUUGCGAGUGUUGGUGAUACAUUGGACAAGACCCCAAGACCGGCGCCGAACAAAAGCAUUCAACCUUUUGGAUUCGUGUCCACCGGGAGUUUCAUGAGCGCAAGAAGUUUCCGCCUUACCAAACUGUGAGCACGCACGGGUGGGUGUCCAUUUCGAAGCGUUGGAGGGUGAUCCAACAAGAGUGCAAAAAGUUUUGUGCCACCCUUGAGAGCGUCAAGGCCCGCCCCGUGAGCAGCAUCGGCAUGCAAGACAUGGUAUGGUAG